CCCUUAGAUGUUCUGGGCGGCCCGCGCACUACACUGAGUGUCUGAGAUACGAGUCUGCCUGGUCCGGCAAGGUCUAGGUAAUCGCUAAAAGACACAUCAUGCUUGGGAUAGAUUAUUGCAAAUAUUAAUCUUGAACGAGGAAUUCCUAGUAAGCGCAAGUCAACAGCUUGCGUUGAUUACGUCCCUGCCCUUUGUACACACCGCCCGUCGCUACUACUGAUUGGAUGUUUAAGCGAGGUUCUCGAACUGCUAGCGACUUAGCUUCGGUGAGGUCGCAGUGUGGGAAGUGAACCUAGCUUUGGUGUCUAGAGGAAGUAAAAGUCGUAACA
rnacentral:rRNA from 1 species